rnacentral:rRNA from 1 species
ACAGAGGGUGCAAGCGUUGUUCGGAAUCAUUGGGCGUAAAGCGCACGUAGGCGGCCGGGCAAGUCGGAUGUGAAAGCCCAGGGCUCAACCCUGGAAGUGCAUCCGAAACUGCUUGGCUCGAGUCCCGGAGAGGGUGGUGGAAUUCCGAGUGUAGAGGUGAAAUGCGUAGAUAUCCGGAGGAACACCAGUGGCGAAGGCGGCUUUCUGGACCGACACUGACGCUGAGGCGCGAAAGCUAGGGGAGCAAACGGGA